GUCGAACGGCAGCACGGGGGCAACCCUGGUGGCGAGUGGCGAACGGGUGAGUAAUACAUCGGAACGUGUCCUUUCGUGGGGGAUAACCAGUCGAAAGACUGGCUAAUACCGCAUGAGAUCUCACGAUGAAAGCGAGGGACCGCAAGGCCUCGCGCGAAUGGAGCGGCCGAUGUCGGAUUAGCUAGUUGGCGGGGUAAAAGCCCACCAAGGCGACGAUCCGUAGCUGGUUUGAGAGAACGACCAGCCACACUGGGACUGAGACACGGCCCAGACUCCUACGGGGGGCAGCAGUGGGGAAUUUUGGACAAUGGGCGCAAGCCUGAUCCAGCCAUGCCGCGUGUGUGAAGAAGGCCUUCGGGUUGUAAAGCACUUUCGGCCGGAACGAAAUCGCCUUUGUUAAUAGCGAGGGUGGAUGACGGUACCGGAAGAAGAAGCACCGGCUAACUACGUGCCAGCAGCCGCGGUAAUACGUAGGGUGCGAGCGUUAAUCGGAAUUACUGGGCGUAAAGGGUGCGCAGGCGGCGUCGCAAGUCAGGCGUGAAAUCCCCGGGCUUAACCUGGGAACUGCACUUGAAACUACGAUGCUCGAGUAUGGCAGAGGGAGGUGGAAUUCCACGUGUAGCGGUGAAAUGCGUAGAGAUGUGGAGGAACACCGAUGGCGAAGGCAGCCUCCUGGGCCAAUACUGACGCUCAUGCACGA
rnacentral:rRNA from 1 species